rnacentral:ncRNA from 1 species
CGAUGAGGUAGAGGUGCAAAAAACAAGAGUAUAAUCCACGAGGAUGACAACGAAGACUGGAUUGGAAAGGGUUUUUUGCCGAAGCAGAGAAAAAAGGUCGCUUAUUCUCUGUUGGGGCUGUCCUGAAUAAGGGCGGAACUGUCGCUGUAAAGUACGUUUAACAGCGGAGUGCUCCUAUCGU